AGUCUCAGAAUUCAAAGUAAGGACUCGACCUCCAGUGAUCCCGUUGCAGACUUCAAAAGCCCAGCAUAGAUGGCUGUCAGUCCAGGAUGUCAGCCUGGAGACAUCUACCACUGGAUAUGAGCCUGAGUCCUCCUCCACUCCAUCAUCUUCUCCCUGUGCUCGACAACGCACCCUCUCCUUUGGCUCUCCUUCGUCGAUAUCAACUUCAUAUCUGGAUAUCGCAGACUGCACUCUUGCCAGUGCUAUUUCAGAAGUAUAUUUGGCGUCUGGUGGUGAUGUGAGGAAUCUGCUGGCUGGGAAGGCAGCUGCUGGCU